CACACACACACACACGGGGGAGAGAGGCGGGUUUUUACUACCUACCGACCGACACGGCACACAGUAGAGGCUGAAAACAGGACGCUAGACUUCCAUUAUUCGGACCGAAACCACUGACACAGUCGGCACUCACCUGCUUUUUCUCUUCUCUGUUGUGUUUUCGUGGUAAAACCUCGUCUCGGUCAGCGUUUCUCCGGUGCAGCGCCCAUCCCUCACCUCUUAUCUGCCCCCCACAGUUCCCCCCGAGAGGGACAGCCUCAACUUCCACCCCGGACCCUCCACACUUCAACAACUUCAGCAAACAAGCGGCACCAGCCCUCAGGCAGGAUACUUUGUAGCCAGUGUGAUGUUAGCUCUGGCUCUAGAAGCAGGACUGACUAAAGGAGCAUGGUGAAACACCAACCCCUCCAGGUCUAUGAGCGGCAGCUGUGUUUGUCAUGUAUCACUGGGGUCUAUGGUUGCCGAUGGAAACGCUAUCAACGUUCCCAUGAUGACACGACUAAGUGGGAGCUGCUCUGGUCCCUCAUACUCCUCUUCACCUUCUGUCUGCUGCUCGUCUGGUUCUACUUUUGGUGGGAGGCACAUAAUGACUACAAUGAAUUUAACUGGUCCCUGUACAACCACUCAGGGGAGUGGAGUGAUGGCACUGUUCCCAUCCUGGCCACCACCGCUGCUGGCUUCACAUAUAUCACGUUUUUAAUGGUUUUAGCACUUUGCCAUGUUGCACUUGGGCAACAGUUGAAUUUGCACUGGCUCCAUAAGAUAGGAGUGGUUGCUGCUUUGCUCACCACCAUUGUUGGGGUAAUAUCUGUGAAUCAAACAUGGCGGCAAGAGUGGGACGUUAUCCCCAUCUCCUUGCAGGCCACAGGUCCUUUCUUGCACAUCGGGGCCCUCGCCGCAGUCACGGCACUCUCUUGGAUUGUGGCAGGACAGGUCGCCCGAGCAGAGAAACUCAUGUUCCAGGUGGUGGUCGUCCUGCUGUAUCUCGGCGUGUUGAUGGGACUCUACGUGAUGCCCCUGUACAUCACCUCCCCCUGUAUCAUGGACCCAAGCAACCUAAAACCACGCCCUGAUGUGAUUGGCCACCACGGAGCAGCCAUGAUUGCGCCAGAGAACACGUUUUGGUCUUUCCAGCAAUCUCUGCAAAUGAACGUCACUGGACUGGAGGCUGACGUAGCUAUCAGUGUUGACGGCGUGCCCUUCUUGAUGCACGAUCUCACCCUGCGGAGGACCACAAACGUGGACAAAGUUUUUCCAGACAGGCAGAUGGAGGAAGCCGCAUUCUUUAACUGGACAGACCUGCAGCAGCUCAAUGCAGGAGAGUGGUUCUUCAAGGACGACCCCUUCAGGACGGCAUAUACUCUGUCCCAGCGUGAAGAGAAUAAGAUCAGGGCUCAGAAAGUGUGCAGCCUAGAUCAGCUUCUAAACCUGGCCUCCUCCCACAACACCUCAGUGGUUUUCAGCCUACGAAGACCUCCUCCUCAACACCCCUGCUACGACACCUGGAUCAAUGAUACUCUCGACGCAGUGCUGCAGUCUGGGAUUCCUCAAAACCUGGUGAUGUGGACUCCUGAUGAGGACAGAGCUCAGGUAAGACAGCUAGCACCUGGUCUGAUCCAGACGUCAGUAGUGAAACAGACGCCCCGACGACUGCAGCAGUCGGGCAUCAGCAGGCUUCUCCUCAGAUACAACCAAGCCAGCACAAGUGAAAUCAGAAACUUCUCAGAAACCCACAUCAACCUCACUCUGUACACCGUCAAUGAACCGUGGCUGUACUCGGUGCUGUGGUGCAGCGGGGUGCCUUCAGUCUCCUCCGAGGCCCCACAUAUCCUCAGGAAGGUGCCUUAUCCAAUCUGGCUCAUGAGGCCAAAUGAAUACUGCCUGAUGUGGGUGUUUGCAGACCUCCUCUCCCUCGCUGCCGUCACCGGGAUCUUCAUUUUCCAGAACUAUCACAUGAUCAGGUAUCGGACGAGCGGCAUGCGCAGCUACAAUCCUGAACAGAUCAUGCUGAGCGCCUCGGUCCGGACCUCCACCCGGGACGUCAAUGUCAUGAAGGAGAAACUCAUCUUCUCUGACCAACCCCAGUAGCGUCCACUCUGCUCCAUCCUUUGUUGGCGUGUCAUCUCCACCAGCCCCACGUGACUUCUUCCAUACCUGCAUAUGUCAAAUGCAGCCAUUGCAGCAUCCCACCCUUUUGCCCCAUUCCUCUUCAUCCAUCCAUCCAUCCAUCCACUCAUCCACUCAUCAUCCCUUCAUCGCCCAUCCUCCCCCACAAUCCUCCCGCUGGAGACAUCGUAGUGUAGGAGAGCUUAUAGGCCCCCGGUCUAAACACCCUCUAGGGCUGGGGGUCCAAGAGGUGAGAGACGGCGCUGAGGAGGAGCUGUACGGGGACAGCAGCUACGACUACUACAACAGCCAGGGCAUCAGUCAGUGAUUUACUCCGUCUGCUCUCAGGAGCUGGAAACCACACUCCACAUUCACGUCCUUUUGUUUUGAUCAGUGUGACGUCUCCUCCUCUUCUCUUUUGGCUCACUGAUGAAUUGACUCCCAUAUUUGCCGGAAACACAAGACACCCUCUUUAUUUGUAUACACUGUAAAUAUGUUUUCCCUCUUAUUAAAAAAAGAAAUGUAUAUUGCACACAGAUGAAAGCACUUCUUACUGAUGGAGUUGGUUGCAUCCAUCAGUCCUGUUGAAAUGAGCCGGUAGCGGCUGCUUCUUGCAGACAUGGGUUUCUACAUUCUCUCUUACAAUUUCAAAACCGUUUAUUUUACGCACUGUAAAUGAUUUCCUCUUAGCAGCUACAUUUCUUUCUAGCAGAGGUUUUUAUUUCAGCAUGAAGCAGUAGGUAGUUCAUAAAAGUACUAACAUUAAAAUUUAAGAUAUUUAGACUUAAAAAGGACGAUAAAAUGUUUACAGAUAUCCUGCCUUGUCCUCCAGGUGAAAUAUUCACAUAUGUGUGUGUGUGUGUGUACAUAGAGAGAGAUUUAUGUAAAAUAUUUUUUACUCCUGCUGUACUUCUGUUCAGUGCAUGCAGCUUUUAGGGUCUUUGGGACUUGGGGUGAGCUGUGCUCCCAGUGAAACCAGAACAACUGGUGACAAUGCUGUGAAGGAUUAAGAUUUGUACAGUUUUGUUUGUUUAAUGGUGACAUGUUUUUGAUCGUUUCCUUUGUCAAGAUGCAUUUAUUGUACUGUGUUUUCUGACUGGAUAUGUUUUUACCUUGCAUGCAGUGCUAUGUUGUAUGUGUAUGUAAUAGGAGAGCUAACGCGUGAGAUGCUCCAGCCAACGACGAUAACCUUUAAUGUGACAGUUGAAUCAUUACAGUAGCAGGUCUGGCCUUUUGAGUUGCAGUAAAAUCGCUGGUUUUUCAGUGCCGGCAAACCCGUCUCGUUGGGAUGUAAACGCUGCAAAUGAAAUGGGGCUACACUGUCAACAUACCAAUUGCCUUUUGUUUUAUCUCUUUGGGUAUUACUGUGCCUCCAAAAUCAAUAGUAAAUCUUAUAAUAUAUUGA